UUGUGUAAAUUUCUGUCCGGAAAUAAAAGUCGUGUCAAUAAUAAUUAGCAUAUCAACUCAGCAGCACAUGCACAUUAUAAUGAGAUCUCAUCCAGAUCUGUACUCAAACCAUAAUUGUCAGUUUG